rnacentral:misc_RNA from 1 species
GCAAAAAGGAAGCCGAGGUGAUUGGUGCUGAUGUUGCACGGAUAAAGCAGAUCUUUGAACAUCUUUACAAGCUGAAAUAAUCAGAAAGUACACAUAAGGCAUGCUGUCCUGAAAGUUUAUAUCUUUCACCAAAGAGUAUUUAUUGAAAGAUCGCUGCUCCUUGAUGUGAAAGAAUUGAAUCUGCUGGUUGUGGACGGCCAACUUUUGGUCUGUACUGGUUCUAAAUUUCUUGCUUUGCGUUUUUCCUUUUUAAUAUUUCUUUAGUAAUUUUGAUAAUACUGUAAAUGUACUUUU